rnacentral:rRNA from 1 species
AUUGAACGCUGGCGGCAGGCCUAACACAUGCAAGUCGCACGAGUGGCGGACGGGUGACUAAUGUCUGGGAAACUGCCUGAUGGAGGGGGAUAACUACUGGAAACGGUAGCUAAUACCGCAUACCAUCGGAUGUGCCCAGAUGGGAUUAGCUAGUAGGUGGGGUAAUUGCUCACCUAGGCGACGAUCCCUAGCUGGUCUGAGAGGAUGACCGGCCACACUGUAACUUAGACACGGUCCAGCCGCCUACGGCAGGCAGCAUGGGGGAAUAUUGCACAAUGGGCGCAAGCCUGAUGCAGCCAUGCCGCGUGUAUGAAGAAGGCCUUCGGGUUGUAAAGUACUUGCAGCGGGGAGGCGUUACCCGCAGAAGAAGCACCGGCUAACUCCGUGCCAGCAGCCGCGGUAAUUC